rnacentral:rRNA from 1 species
CUACCCUUGACAUCGAGAGAACUUUCCAGAGAUGGAUUGGUGCCUUCGGGAACUCUCAGACAGGUGCUGCAUGGCUGUCGUCAGCUCGUGUUGUGAAAUGUUGGGUUAAGUCCCGUAACGAGCGCAACCCCUAUCCUUAUUUGCCAGCGAGUAAUGUCGGGAACUCUAAGGAGACUGCCGGUGACAAACCGGAGGAAGGUGGGGACGACGUCAAGUCAUCAUGGCCCUUACGGGUAGGGCUACACACGUGCUACAAUGGCAAGUACAAAGGGUUGCAAUACGGCGACGUGGAGCCAAUCCCAUAAAGCUUGCCUCAGUCCGGAUUGGAGUCUGCAACUCGACUCCAUGAAGUCGGAAUCGCUAGUAAUCGUGGAUCAGAAUGCCACGGUGAAUACGUUCCCGGGUCUUGUA